GUCUUCGUGGUGUAGUGGUCAGCACGCUCGACACGUAAUCGAAAAGUCCGUGGUUCGAGUCCGGGUGAAGGCA
rnacentral:tRNA from 1 species